UGGCAGUCUUGAGUCUAGAGUCCAGUCGAAUUCGCCUAGAACAAUACAGUUUGCAGGUCAACGGGAGAAAGUCUUUCGCAAUUGUUGUUUGAAAUAAAUCAGCUUGGCUUCAUUAAGCGACAGGAAUAAGUGACAAGCCUGAGCAAGAAAAUGAACGCGUCUACGACAGAAAACAUAAAAAUGCGACAGGGUAUCAAAAUCGACGAUACGUGAUGAUCGGAUACGUGAUUCGGACGUCGCACCGGGAGUAGAUAAGGAAUUGGAAUAGUAAGAGUCGAUCAGAUGAAAUUUUGCAUUUCAGAGGAUAAUUAACAAUUAAUAAUUCGAUUAUUUAUAAAGCACACCUUCUGUCAUUUUACUUUUGUAUUUGCGUGAUUACCUCGAAAAUGAAGAUAAAUUCGCCGGUGAUAUUUUCGAUAUGUGUGUAUACCCAUGCGAUAUACAUAGGUUAAGAAUAUAUUUUUGUAAUAUUUAUCGGAAAUCCGUGUCUACGUAUGCAUCGCAUUAUUUUAGAUUUAUUGUUACAUCAGUUUUGGUUUGAUUUUGCCGUCGGAAUAUCUUGCAUUUCAUUUGACUACAUCGUACUGACAAGCUCUGUUUGGAUUCGUUCUGUAGUUGGUAUUUCUUUCGUUUAUGCUAAUGAGAAGUCGUAAAUUCGUGACUAUUAUCAAGGUCGUCACUAUUGUCAGGAAUGGCUGUAGACGGUUAUUUUACGACUUUCUCAAUUGGCCUCUUUGGAAACUUAGAGACAGUUCAGACCAUCACGAGCUCUGAAACAGUUAAGCAUCCCUAAAUAUGCCCUGACCGUUUUUCCAUCGUAUUGUGUGCUAAACGCUUCAGUUGAAAUCCAGGCAUCUUUGUAAAGUUUUAACCCUUCUCCUUACACUUUGUACUCAUCUUAACAAUAAAGGUUAUCUUUAUAUAUGUA